rnacentral:misc_RNA from 1 species
CAAAGGAAAUUCUGAGGUGCCGUUUUUGGUAAAAUAUGGACGUUCCAAUAUUUGAUCUCUGCUCUAUCUGGGAAGUUUAAAUGGAAUUUUAUUGUAAGCUACGCAAGAUUCUUUUUUAUUGUUUUUCUAAGUGAAGUUUCGAGGGAAAUUCUGAGGUGCCGUUUUUUGGUAAAAUAUGGACGUUCCAAUAUUUGAUCUUUGCUCUAUCUGGGAAGUUUAAAUGGAAUUUUAUUGUAAGCUACGCAAGAUUCGCUUUUAUUGUCUGUCUGUUCUUAGUGAAGUUCCGAGGGAAAUUCUGAGGUGCCGUUUUUUGGUAAAAAAUGGAUGUUCCAAUACUGUUUUCGGCUGUAUUCGAGAAGUUUGAACGAUAUUUUAUAAGUCACAAGCUACGGGACUUCUUUUUAUUAUUUUUAUGUUCCAAGGUAAGUUCUAGGGUG